rnacentral:tRNA from 1 species
AAAGGGAGACCUAAUUCAGGUAUAAGACGAAAAAAAAGUAGUCCCUACCAAGAAUCAAUCCCAAAAGGUCGGAGCGAGGCGAAAUUGGCUUUCAAACUAGGUUCUGGGUUCAAACAAGACCUGAAUCAGGAACAAGGGCUAUUAGCUCAGGUGGUUAGAGCGCACCCCUGAUAAGGGUGAGGUCCCUGGUUCGAGUCCAGGAUGGCCCACCUGCACAGGUGGCAAAAACAAGAGAAGCUCCGAAUCAGCACCUUAUCUUACUUACAUAGUAAGAGAGAAUGCUGGCUCUGAGUAAAGAGUCCAGAGGAACCUUGAAAACUGCAUAGAGCUAGGUGAAAAAGCCAAAAAAGAAGACCGCAAG